rnacentral:rRNA from 1 species
GACAGAGGGUGCAAACGUUGUUCGGAUUUACUGGGCGUAAAGCGCGUGUAGGCGGCUUUGCAAGUCGGAUGUGAAAGCCCACGGCUCAACCGUGGAAGUGCAUCCGAAACUGCAUGGCUCGAGUCUCGGAGAGGAAGGUGGAAUGCUUGGUGUAGAGGCGAAAUUCGUAGAUAUCAAGCAGAACACCUGCGGCGAAGGCGGCCUUCUGGACGAUGACUGACGCUGAGACGCGAAAGCGUGGGGAGCAAACAGG